AUUGAACGCUGGCGGCAUGCCUUACACAUGCAAGUCGAACGGCAGCACGGACUUCGGUCUGGUGGCGAGUGGCGAACGGGUGAGUAAAGUAUCGGAACGUACCUUUCAGUGGGGGAUAACGUAGCGAAAGUUACGCUAAUACCGCAUAUUCUGUGAGCAGGAAAGCAGGGGAUCGCACGACCUUGCGCUGAUUGAGCGGCCGAUAUCAGAUUAGCUAGUUGGUGAGGUAAAGGCUAACCAAGGCGACGAUCUGUAGCGGGUCUGAGAGGAUGAUCCGCCACACUGGAACUGAGACACGGUCCAGACUCCUACGGGAGGCAGCAGUGGGGAAUUUUGGACAAUGGGGGCAACCCUGAUCCAGCCAUGCCGCGUGAGUGAAGAAGGCCUUCGGGUUGUAAAGCUCUUUCGGCCGGGAAGAAAUCGUAUCAGCUAAUACCUGGUGCGGAUGACGGUACCGGCAUAAGAAGCACCGGCUAACUACGUGCCAGCCGCCGCAGUAACAC
rnacentral:rRNA from 1 species